rnacentral:rRNA from 1 species
UGAAUACGAGACGCUAAGGCGUCGAAGUAGUGUAUGUCAUACUUCCAAGAAAAGCUUGCACUGUCAUAGAUAAAAAACGCCUGUACCAUAACCGACACAGGUGGGUAGGUAGAGUAUACUAAGGGGCGCGAGAUAACUCUCUCUAAGGAACUCGGCAAAAUAACUCCGUAACUUCGGGAGAAGGAGUGCCUUAUUCGUAAGGUUGCAAUAACAAGAUCCAAGCAACUGUUUAUCAAAAACACAGGUCUCCGCUAAGUCGUAAGACGAUGUAUGGGGGCUGACGCCUGCCCAGUGCCAGAAGGUUAAAGAAGUUGGUUAGCAAUUGCGAAGCUGAUAACUGAAGCCCUGGUGAACGGCGGCCGUAACUAUAACGGUCCUAAGGUAGCGAAAUUCCUUGUCGGGUAAGUUCCGACCCGCACGAAAGGCGUAAUGAUUUGGAUACUGUCUCGGAGAGGGGCUCGGUGAAAUAGACUUGUCUGUGAAGAUGCGGACUACCUGCACCAGGACAGAAAGACCCUAUGAAGCUUUACUGUAACUUGAAAUUGAAAUUGGACUUUAUUCGCGCAGUAUAGGUGGGAGGCGUUGAUUAUAAUCUUGUGGGAUUAUUGGAGCCAUCAGUGAGAUACCACUCUUGUAAUGUUAGAUUUCUAACUUUGAAUCAUUAUCUGGUCAAAGAACAGUUUCAGGCGGGCAGUUUGACUGGGGCGGUCGCCUCCUAAACGGUAACGGAGGCGUACAAAGGUUUCCUCUGAACGGUUAGAAAUCGUAUCUAGAGUGUAAAGGCAUAAGGAAGCUUGACUGUGAGACCUACAAGUCGAGCAGGGACGAAAGUCGGUCUUAGUGAUCUGACGGUACUGAGUGGAAAGGCCGUCACUCAACGGAUAAAAGUUACUCUAAGGAUAACAGGCUGAUCUCCCCCAAGAGUUCACAUCGACGGGGAGGUUUGGCACCUUGAUGUCGGCUCAUCGCAUCCUGGGGCGGUAGUACGUCCCAAGGGUUGGGCUGUUCGCCCAUGAAAGCGGUACGCGAGCUGGGUUCAGAACGUCGUGAGACAGUUCGGUCCAUAUCCGGUGUAGGCGUUAGAAUAUUGAGAGGAGCCUUCUUUAGUACGAGAGGACCGAGAAGGACAUACCUCUGGUGUACCAGUUAUCGUGCCAACGGUAAACGCUGGGUAGCUAUGUAUGGAGUGGAUAACCGCUGAAAGCAUCUAAGUGGGAAGCCCACCUCAAGAUAAGUAUUCUCA